rnacentral:rRNA from 1 species
CCCAGCCUACGGGAGGCAGCAGUGGGGGAUAUUGCACAAUGGGGGGAACCCUGAUGCAGCGACGCCGCGUGGGUGAAGAAGCGCCUCGGCGCGUAAAGCCCUGUCAGCAGGGAAGAAAAUGACGGUACCUGAAGAAGAAGCCCCGGCUAACUACGUGCCAGCAGCCGCGGUAAUACAUAGGGGGCAAGCAUUAUCCGGAUUUACUGGGUGUAAAGGGGGCGCAGACGGCGAUGCAAGCCAGGAGUGAAAGCCCGGGGCGCAACCCCGGGACGGCUCU